GUCAAUGGAGCAGAGUAUGCACAAGAUUUAGGGUCUUGUGGGAGGAGUUGUUU
rnacentral:tRNA from 1 species